AGUGAACGCUGGCGGUAGGCCUAACACAUGCAAGUCGAACGGCAGCACAGUAAGAGCUUGCUCUUACGGGUGGCGAGUGGCGGACGGGUGAGGAAUACAUCGGAAUCUACUUUUUCGUGGGGGAUAACGUAGGGAAACUUACGCUAAUACCGCAUACGACCUACGGGUGAAAGCAGGGGAUCUUCGGACCUUGCGCGAUUGAAUGAGCCGAUGUCGGAUUAGCUAGUUGGCGGGGUAAAGGCCCACCCAGGCGACGAUCCGUAGCUGGUCUGAGAGGAUGAUAAGCCACACUGGAACUGAGACACGGUCCAGACUCCUACGGGAGGCAGCAGUGGGGAAUAUUGGACAAUGGGCGCAAGCCUGAUCCAGCCAUACCGCGUGGGUGAAGAAGGCCUUCGGGUUGUAAAGCCCUUUUGUUGGGAAAGAAAAGCAGCAGGUUAAUACCCCGCUGUUCUGACGGUACCCAAAGAAUAAGCACCGGCUAACUUCGUG
rnacentral:rRNA from 1 species